UGUUAGUGGAAGCGUCUGGAAAGGCGCGCGAUACAGGGUGACAGCCCCGUACACAAAAAUGCACAUGCUGUGAGCUCGAUGAGUAGGGCGGGACACGUGGUAUCCUGUCUGAAUAUGGGGGGACCAUCCUCCAAGGCUAAAUACUCCUGACUGACCGAUAGUGAACCAGUACCGUGAGGGAAAGGCGAAAAGAACCCCGGCGAGGGGAGUGAAAAAGAACCUGAAACCGUGUACGUACAAGCAGUGGGAGCACGCUUAGGCGUGUGACUGCGUACCUUUUGUAUAAUGGGUCAGCGACUUAUAUUCUGUAGCAAGGUUAACCGAAUAGGGGAGCCGAAGGGAAACCGAGUCUUAACUGGGCGUUAAGUUGCAGGGUAUAGACCCGAAACCCGGUGAUCUAGCCAUGGGCAGGUUGAAGGUUGGGUAACACUAACUGGAGGACCGAACCGACUAAUGUUGAAAAAUUAGCGGAUGACUUGUGGCUGGGGGUGAAAGGCCAAUCAAACCGGGAGAUAGCUGGUUCUCCCCGAAAGCUAUUUAGGUAGCGCCUCGUGAAUUCAUCUCCGGGGGUAGAGCACUGUUUCGGCAAGGGGGUCAUCCCGACUUACCAACCCGAUGCAAACUGCGAAUACCGGAGAAUGUUAUCACGGGAGACACACGGCGGGUGCUAACGUCCGUCGUGAAGAGGGAAACAACCCAGACCGCCAGCUAAGGUCCCAAAGUCAUGGUUAAGUGGGAAACGAUGUGGGAAGGCCCAGACAGCCAGGAUGUUGGCUUAGAAGCAGCCAUCAUUUAAAGAAAGCGUAAUAGCUCACUGGUCGAGUCGGCCUGCGCGGAAGAUGUAACGGGGCUAAACCAUGCACCGAAGCUGCGGCAGCGACGCUGAUGCGUUGUUGGGUAGGGGAGCGUUCUGUAAGCCUGCGAAGGUGUGCUGUGAGGCAUGCUGGAGGUAUCAGAAGUGCGAAUGCUGACAUAAGUAACGAUAAAGCGGGUGAAAAGCCCGCUCGCCGGAAGACCAAGGGUUCCUGUCCAACGUUAAUCGGGGCAGGGUGAGUCGACCCCUAAGGCGAGGCCGAAAGGCGUAGUCGAUGGGAAACAGGUUAAUAUUCCUGUACUUGGUGUUACUGCGAAGGGGGGACGGAGAAGGCUAUGUUGGCCGGGCGACGGUUGUCCCGGUUUAAGCGUGUAGGCUGGUUUUCCAGGCAAAUCCGGAAAAUCAAGGCUGAGGCGUGAUGACGAGGCACUACGGUGCUGAAGCAACAAAUGCCCUGCUUCCAGGAAAAGCCUCUAAGCAUCAGGUAACAUCAAAUCGUACCCCAAACCGACACAGGUGGUCAGGUAGAGAAUACCAAGGCGCUUGAGAGAACUCGGGUGAAGGAACUAGGCAAAAUGGUGCCGUAACUUCGGGAGAAGG
rnacentral:rRNA from 1 species